ACCAGGGAGUGUCCUCCAAACCCUAGAUUUCACAUAAAACUCACAAAUUGAAGCCCUUAAUUUGCUCUAAAUCGAGUUUCAAACACGGAUUAGUGAUCACCUUGUUGCGGGGAUCAAAAGGUGGGAGCUUGUGGAUGAAGCGGGUCAAACGAAUCAAGAACGGAAGGAAAAGCAUGGCAUGGAUGCGAGGUACUUUUGGAUGCCGGAAGACGAUCAAGCUCAACGAGGAACCGAACACGAUAAAGAUACACGCUUCCGCACUUUGCAUCGUCAUUAAUUUUAAACGACGAAUCUGAUCACGUUAUGUCAAAUGACUUUUAAUUUGUAAAAGUUUUCUUUAAUCCCGUAUUUCCAAUGUAUGUAAUCAUUAAUUACAUGAAUGUUUUCGCAAAAUAUACGUUAAACCUUGAUUUAUAA